CGGAAGUAUUGUUUUGAGUCUCGUUGCUAUCAAUUUGGCAUACAAUUUUGUGUCUGCGUUCAGUAGGGAAAUCGGGCGUAGAUUGCCGCAUUGGGUGGGGGGUUUGUUUGGUUUGGGCAGUGUAACAAUGAAGGCUUCCAGCAUUUCUUUGGGCAUUAUCCCUGAGUCUUUUAUGUUAUUGAAGAGUUUAGUAAGAGGGGUGACCAAUUGUGGGGAAAGUUUUAUGUAAUAAUAGUUUGAU